CCCGUCACACCAUGGGAGUUGAUUGCACCAGAAGCAGGUAGCCUGACCGCAAGGAGGGCGCCUACCACGGUGUGGUCAAUGACUGAGGUG
rnacentral:rRNA from 1 species